ensembl:Mt_tRNA
GUUCCUGUAGUUAAAUUUCAAUAACAACGACUUUUCAGGUCGUAGAUCCUGGAUAGAGGCCGGGCGGGAAUU